CACGUAGGGUGCGAGCGUUGUCCGGAAUUACUGGGCGUAAAGAGCUCGUAGGCGGUCUGUCGCGUCUGCUGUGAAAACUCGGGGCUUAACCCCGGGCCUGCAGUGGGUACGGGCAGACUAGAGUGCGGAAGAGGAGAGUGGAAUUCCGUGGUGUAGCGGUGAAAUGCGCAGAUAUCAGGAAGAACACCCGUGGCGAAGGCGGCUCUCUGGGACGGUACUGACGCUGAGACGCGAAAGCGUGGGGAGCGAACAGG
rnacentral:rRNA from 1 species